UACGGAGGGUGCAAGCGUUAUCCGGAUUCACUGGGUUUAAAGGGUGCGUAGGCGGGUAGAUAAGUCAGUGGUGAAAUCUCCGAGCUUAACUCGGAAACUGCCAUUGAUACUAUUUAUCUUGAAUAUUGUGGAGGUAGGCGGAAUAUGUCAUGUAGCGGUGAAAUGCUUAGAUAUGACAUAGAACACCAAUUGCGAAGGCAGCUUACUACACAAUGAUUGACGCUGAGGCACGAAAGCGUGGGGAUCAAACAGG
rnacentral:rRNA from 1 species